UACGUAGGGGGCAAGCGUUGUCCGGAAUCAUUGGGCGUAAAGAGCGUGUAGGCGGCCAGAAAAGUCCGCUGUGAAAACUCGAGGCUCAACUUCGAGCUGUCGGUGGAAACUUUCUGGCUAGAGUCCGGAAGAGGAGAAUGGAAUUCCCGGUGUAGCGGUGAAAUGCGCAGAUAUCAGGAAGAACACCCGUGGCGAAGGCGGGUCUCUGGGCCGAUACUGACGCUGAGGAGCGAAAGCGUGGGGAGCGAACAGG
rnacentral:rRNA from 1 species